UGCGAGCUUCUUGAGUGUGGCAGUGUUAAAGAUAUUGAAGUAAUGGACACCAAAAACCUUCCCCAGAGAUUUGCAGACCUCUGAAAACUGGACUCAAGUACCACAACAGCAAGAGCAGAUUAAUCUCCUGGGACUAGAAAUGAUGGAUGGUCCCAAGAGCUUGGCUUACUCAUUAUCAGUCUCUUCAGUCUGGUCACAUCAUGGUGAGAUGCUCAGAACAGCAGAAGGCAACAACGGCACCCUGCCCUGCUCCAGUGCUGACCACCGCUCGUCACACCCCACCUCCUUUUAUCCAGCAGCAGACUUCCAAGUCAAGCUUGUGAAAUUUUAGGUUGAAACAUAUAAGGAUAAAAGUCUGAGAGCAGCUUAUAUUAAAAAACAACAACAAGGCCAGGGACUGUGGAUCUUGGCCUAACCAAAUUACUUAGGAAGCAAAGUGACAGUCACAUUUCAGGGGCGCAACAAAUUAGUUUUUAAGAAUACCCAUUUCAGCUGCCAAUUUAGGACCUAUUUAACCCAGACCAAAAUGCUGUAUCUACAGGCAAAAAUUACAUUAUACAAAUAAAGCUCUAAGUUCUUUUUUAGCACUUAAAAACAUGAAUCACUACUGCAAGAAUAGUAUUUCAAAAGCAAUGGAAAUAUCGUUCAGCCAGACUGCAGCUAAAUGACGUGAUUUCAGCAGUGUGAGUACCAGAGAAGAACUGCAAGCUACGAGGCAUGGGACAGCAACUCUGGGAAGGCGUUGCCUGCACUCUCAGUGAGUCGUCCAUCGAGACUCACGGCGCUUUGAUCAGAGGAGACCCCCUAGGAAGGAGUCUACUGUCACUUCCGGCGGUGGGAGGCUGUGCAGCAUGCGCGGCCGGGGCCUCCCUGGCUGGUGGUGAGCAUACAGCUGUGCGGCAGGGUCUGCAGGUGCGGUGUGAGGA